ensembl:lncRNA
GGAGGAAUCCAGUGCCACUGCUUUGCUUCAUACGCACUUCCAUGUCAGAUGCCAUUUGGUCAGACUGCCCCUCUGCUGCCUUCUGUCACAGGGCAGCAAAAUGUAACAGUGUUGGUGGGAAGGUUCAGGCUCUACUGCCACACAUCAACAUCCACCUCUGACAUCGUGAGCCAAUCUAAUAACAUAGGAGGCAUUACUUUUGGAGCAGUCCUGUAGGAAAUAUAGUUUCAGUUGUUCUUGCGCAGGUAGUUCUUACAUGCUUAAGUUAGGAAUGUUUAAGUUUGGUCUUUGAAUACCAUAUGUUUGUCUCUGAGAGAAACUAAAGCUUUGCAGAUCACAGCUGAAGACAGCCUCAGAAGAAAUGAGUGCUGAAUUGACUUUUACAACUUAUUCUUUCUCAGUGGAACUUGUUUAAGCAUGCUGGGCCUUCAUGAAAACCCUCUGCAACUCCUUAAAAAGAAUGUGAAGGUCUCACUUGCUUGUCAUCGUUUCUCAGUAAUAGUGCAUAUAUAAGAUACUCUGCUAGAAACCUGAGACCACUUAGUAAGCAGCCUUAGGCUGCUUGAACCUGAAGAUCCAAACUGAAGGCAAGACCUCUUAGAUGUUGUGGUUCCUCAAAGGCUUUCACUUGAGUCCAUCCUUCUAAAACAUACUCUGUGGACAAAGAAUCCUAAAUGCUACUUAAAGGUGAAGUUAAAGAUCUACAUGGAUUACACUCCCAAUGCAAGGGAAAGGAUUAACUUUUCUUUCAACUCCUGCUGCUUAAUGUUGAUUUAAUAUAUUGUCUUGACUUCUAAUAAGGUUAUUGAAAGAUAAAAGCAUAUAAGGAGCUGUGCCACAGAUGCGACUGUCAGAACUUCAUAUGCAAAAUAAAAAGAGACAUUAUAAUAAAAAGAAAAUUGAACGUUGCUUGUAUAAAAUCUGGCUUUGUUUUGAUGCAUAAAGCAGCAAACACUGUUCCACACUGAGGUUUUCAAGAAUGUCUUAAGUAUACAAUGCUUCUGAUGCCACCCCAGUUGCC